CCCUAUUCCCCUGCCCCCAUUGAAGCUUCUUCACCGCCAUUGGCAUCGUAUCCUUCUUUGUUUUUGGAUCUUGCUAUUCAUUGCUCCUCUCUCUCUCUCUCUCUCUCUCUCUCUCUCUCUCUCUCUCUCGAGGCCACCAUUGGAGGAGCUAUGAGGAGGAGGAGAAGCAACAGUGAAAGGGGAAAUCGAGGGCGGAUGCGAUCUGUGGGUCUAAAUCUCUCUGUUGCCUUUGGAGGAGCUAGAAGGAAGAGGAACAUCGGUGACGAUCGGUAGAGCUCGAAGGAGGAAGGGAAGCAUCAGUGUGAACUGAAGGAUUAGAGGUGGUACGAUCGGAGGAAACUGGCAAGAUGGUGCAACAGCUGUGUGCCUUUGGAUCCUGAGGCAAACAGUUCUAGUUGCUAACCUUGGAGACGCUAAGGCAAUAUUGGCUCAAUCUUCUAAUGAAUCCCAUCAGUCAACAAGUGAAGCAGGAUCUACAUUAAAAGUUAUUCUCUUGACAAAAGAACCUAAAGCCAUUUACCCACAGGAACGUGCUCGAAUUCAAAAGCAUCCCAUAUGCAAUACACGAUGAAAGCCCGAAUAGGCUUUUGAUUAUUUGUGUGUGCUCAAAUUUGUCAUACGAAGCUCUAUGUCAUAUAUGCAAGUGGAUGGUUCCGGUAGCUUGCUAAAUUCUUGUGAUUGUUAACAGCAUGCUCCUUCUUUCUUUUCUCCUUAUGAAUGUCUCUACUUUUAUAGCUUUUGUGACACUGAAUAACAAAUCCAUUAGGACUUCUGCUUUGUGCACUUGAAAAUGCUUUUCUUAGAUAAUGAUUUUGUAAAGGUUGUGAGUUUCACAACUCCUUGUUUUUCAAAGUUUCAUAUAGACACCCUUGAUUUAAUUGAUUUCCUUAUUUGAAUGACUUUGAUCUGUUCCAGAUAUGUUUACUAUUAUAACAUAUCUCUGAAUUGGGCCAUGAUGUAUGUACACACUGACAGAUGACAUUAUUGGAAUGUGAUAUGAUACAAGUUAUAUGAGUAUAUUUACUCCAAGAGUUUUGAUUUCACUAUUAUUUGUGCAUUAUUCAAUAUUUGUGGCCACUAUGUCCUUGUGGCCAAUUUUUUUUUUCCUUUUAUUUCCUUAACUUAAGUGUUACUU